UCAAAAGUCAAGUCGCGGGGCUGUAAAGCUCUCGUCUACACCCCAUGUCUUUUGCGUACUCUUGUUUCCUCGGUGGCGCAAGCUGCCGAUUGGACRAACCAAAACCUUUUUUGUAAUUGCAAUCAGCGUCUGAAAAUAAUCUAAUUAUUUACAACUUUCAACAACGGAUCUCUUGGUUCUGGCAUCGAUGAAGAACGCAGCGAAAUGCGAUAAGUAGUGUGAAUUGCAGAAUUCAGUGAAUCAUCGAAUCUUUGAACGCACAUUGCGCCCCUUGGUAUUCCAUGGGGCAUGCCUGUUCGAGCGUCAUUUGUACCCUCAAGCUUUGCUUGGUGUUGGGCGUCUYGUCGUAUUACGACUCGCCUUAAAUUCAUUGGCAGCCGGCACUUUGGCCUAGGAGCGCAGCACAUUUUGCGAUCGUAGCCCGUUGUACUGGCGUCCAUCAAGAACAUUUCCACG
rnacentral:sRNA from 1 species